GAGGGUAUAGCUCAGUGGUAGAGUGUGUGCUUAGCAUGCACGAGGUCCUGGGUUCAAUCCUCAGGACUUCCA
rnacentral:tRNA from 1 species